CUCACCGAGACCCAGGUCAAGAUUUGGUUCCAGAACCGGCGGGCCAAGGCGAAGCGCCUGCAGGAGGCCGAGCUGGA
rnacentral:miRNA from 1 species